AGACAUCCUUCACACACUUGAUUUGGAUGAUUGAUGCAAGGUAGUCCUCUCACCAUUUCUUUCUUCGAAAGCAACUCCAAUCCUCAAAAAUUUAGAUGCCCAAAUCGAAGAUGCCAAAGUCAAGACUCCUCCUUGUAGCACAUCUUGAGACAUUGUGCGAUGUCAUUUCGAAUGUUAAGGACAAACAUUCUAUUUUUCGACAUUGGCACCUUGGUAAUGAGAUUGCUUUCUUGGUCUCUAAUAGAAAGGUUAUUAUCUUUUAGUCGAAUAUCAUAAACUUUCUCUCCCCUAUCCAUACAGGAGGGAUGAAAUGAUUGGGGGGGAUAGCGUAGAGGCGAUAGAACGCUAUUUGUCCAAGACUCAAGAUAUUCGUCUUCAUGCUCGGAAUAUAGUAAACAUUUGAAAUAAAUUGAUGAUCUCCAUUCUUCAAUCGGAUGAGAAUGUUUCCUUUGCCUUUUACCUCCAUCUUCGAUUCAUCUCCUAAAGCCACAUUUCCUCUCACCGAUUCAUCAAGCUCCGCGAACAUACU
rnacentral:lncRNA from 1 species